AUACUUACCUGGCAGGGGAGACACCAUGAUCACGAAGGUGGUUUUCCCAGGGCGAGGCUCAUCCAUUGCACUGCGGGUGUGCUGACCCCUGCGAUUUCCCCAAAUGCGGGAAACUCGACUGCAUAAUUUGUGGUAGUGGGGGACUGCGUUCGCGCUCUCCCGUG
rnacentral:snRNA from 1 species